UUCUUUUCACUCUGUUUUGGGUUGAUGUUCCUGUUCUUCUCUGUGUUUUGGGGCUAAUUACUCUCUUAACUCUAUUUUUCUUGUUCUUAACUCUGCUUUUUCUGGGUUUCUUCUUUGCUUUUUGGGUUUCUCUUUCGUUUUUUUCUGGCCCCCUCCUGCUUCUGUUUCCAGUCCCCUUUUUAUAGAGCUCGAGAGCUUCCCCCCCUAAAUCAAUCCCAUCUUUGCAGGACUGUUAUUCAAAUCACGAGAGGGAUCAUGGGCAAGAGAUGUGGUCCACGAUCGGAUCAAAUUUGUUGCAGAUCUUCAGCCUUUUGAACCGGGAUGGAGACGACGAACACAGCUGUUCCCAUCAACGGCGACGUUUUCAAGCAACCCGUGGACAUUUUCAAUUUGACCCCUGAACUUUGGAAAUUUCUCAAUUGGACCCCUAAGCAAUUAAAAAUUUCUUUCAAUUUUUCCCUUUUUGGAUAAAUUUCAAUUAAGU
rnacentral:lncRNA from 1 species